UACGGAGGAUCCAAGCGUUAUCCGGAUUUAUUGGGUUUAAAGGGUGCGUAGGCGGUUUUAUAAGUUAGAGGUGAAAAUUCGGGGCUCAACUCCGGACGUGCCUCUAAUACUGUAUGACUAGAGAAUAGAUGCGGUAGGCGGAAUGUAUGGUGUAGCGGUGAAAUGCGUAGAGAUCAUACAGAACACCGAUUGCGAAGGCAGCUUACUAAGCCAUAACUGACACUGAAGCACGAAAGCGUGGGGAUCAAACAGG
rnacentral:rRNA from 1 species